AACGAACGCUGGCGGCAUGCCUAACACAUGCAAGUCGAACGAGAACUCCGGGUCUUGUGGCGCACGGCUGCGUAACGCGUGGGAACCUGCCCUUAGGUUCGGAAUAACUCCCCGAAAGGGGUGCUAAUACCGGAUAAUGUCUUAGGACCAAAGAUUUAUUGCCUUUGGAUGGGCCCGCGUUGGAUUAGCUAGUUGGUAGGGUAAUAGCCUACCAAGGCGACGAUCCAUAGCUGGUCUGAGAGGAUGAUCAGCCACGCUGGGACUGAGACACGGCCCAGACUCCUACGGGAGGCAGCAGAGGGGAAUAUUGGACAAUGGGCGAAGGCCUGAUCCAGCAAUGCCGCGUGAGUGAUGAAGGCCGUAGGGUUGUAAAGCUCUUUUACCCGGGAUGAUAAUGACGGUACCGGGAGAAUAAGCUCCGGCUAACUCCGUG
rnacentral:rRNA from 1 species